ACCCCUUGCUGGUGCUGCUCUUUUGUUCCAAGCAGUGGCGAGCAUGUUAGCAUGUUUAGCAGGUGGGUGUUCGUACAAAGCUCCCACAGUGCACUCUUUCUGGAUUAAAUCACAAAGAGGCGGUGGUGAUUUGUGUGUUGGGGUGUCGUCACCUGUUUCAGUGUAAGUCUUACACUGUAAGACAACACCACCAGGCAUGGCUGUGCCUCCCUGAGGCCUGAGGGCCAAGCUAAGGGCAUCAUCAGCGUCCCUCAGAGAAAAUGCUGCACACAUUUUAAUGAAUCCAUGUGGGAGAGCAGCAAGCUGUUGUUUUCCUACUGUUGGAUGAGCUCCAGAGCUAUUGUAUGAUUACUACACGGCAUGGCUCAGGUGAUAGAGUGGUCGUCUUCCAACCUGAAGGUCGAAGAUUCGAUCCUGUGAUCGUGUCCUUGGGCAAGAUGCUGAACCCCCAGUUGUUCCUGAUGCUGUGUCGUCAGGCGUCUGAGGCGAACAACAGGGCACCUACCGAUGAAGAAGGUAUCGGGGGCGUCAUCGCCUGUCAGCAGCUCCACUGUUUCGGAAUCAAAACGGAGCCAAAGUCCCACGGCCAGUACCAAUAAGCCAGAUAGCUGAGGAACACACAGUCACAUACAUUAUGGUGUCCUAUGGCGUUACUUAAUUAAUCAACAAAUGGCACUGAAUGUCUACGCUCACUUUCAGAUUGGGGAAAUCCUUCUUCCACUUCCUCUUUGGCACCAUUGCAUUGCUGUCACUGAGCGGAAAUCCUCAUUAUGCCAAUUAAAGGCUGACAUCAACACUGCGGCCUGCAGCACGUCGUGACUGCGAGCGCCGUGAGCUUGACGGCGGGUAUUUUCCCACAGCUGCGUACUCCCUCCCUCUGUCUCUCUGAUGUCAUCUCCACUGACCUGGAUCGUCCCCUCAGGCCGGCCCACGCCACACCAUGGUUUUCUAACAUGAUAAGGAGCCCAAACACACCUUGCCUUUCUGAGGUGAUGGAGUGAAGGUGAAGGUGAACAUGAUGGAGUGGCCACGUAUGUCUCCUCCAGACCUGAACCCAAUUGAACACCUGUGAGGCAUCCGCAAACGGAAGGAACGAAGGUGGAGUAACACAAGGGCCCAUAUUCAUCUUAUAUUGCGUCUUAGGCCUUAACAGAGCUCCUAAGGUGGCAAAAUGUUAGGAGUGGCAAGGAGGACUUUUAAGAAGCCUCAGAGUGGAAUAAACUAACAAAAUGGCGGGAAGAUGUAGAGAGAGGAGAGAUAUUUGCCGUACGCUAAACGACAGUGAUUUAAUAACACCCUACCGGCCUGAUCGUGCAGGGAUAAUGUUUGUGUUGGACCUCAUCAGGAAUGAGCUUACUAGUGCCACCCAGCGUAGUAACACUAUAAUGCCUCAGAUGAAAGUCAUCACAACAUUGCGAUACCUGGCCACAGGUAAAAUGCAACAAUGCAGCAGUGAUGACUUGGGUCUGUCACGACCCUCUGUCAGCAGAGUGACCAGCCAGACCAUUAUGGCGCUUUCACAGCGUCAUAUCGUUAGCAAUCACAGGAAUGGCUGACAGCUGAGUCUGUGUCCACCAAUAAUAUCAAAUACAUUUAGUAGUAAAUUACCAGCAUGGACAGUAAACAUAACAAUAAGCACAUCAAUAGAAUGGGCAUUUGAAUGUGAAUGAA